rnacentral:rRNA from 1 species
GACAGAGGGUGCAAACGUUGCUCGGAAUUACUGGGCGUAAAGCGCGUGUAGGCGGUCUCGCGAGUCGGGUGUGAAAGCCCGGGGCUCAACCCCGGACGUGCACUCGAUACUACGAGGCUGGAGUACUGUAGAGGAUGGCGGAAUUCCCGGUGUAGAGGUGAAAUUCGUAGAUAUCGGGAGGAACACCAGUGGCGAAGGCGGCCAUCUGGACAGUGACUGACGCUGAGACGCGAAAGCGUGGGUAGCAAACAGG